GCGCCCGUAGUUCAAUGGACAGAGCGUGAGCUUGCGGAGCUCAAAAUCGAGGUUCGAAUCCUCGCGGGCGCA
rnacentral:tRNA from 1 species